rnacentral:rRNA from 1 species
UGGGGAAUAUUGCACAAUGGGCGCAAGCCUGAUGCAGCCAUGCCGCGUGUAUGAAGAAGGCCUUCGGGUUGUAAAGUACUUUCAGCGGGGAGGAAGGUGUUGUGGUUAAUAACCUCAGCAAUUGACGUUACCCGCAGAAGAAGCACCGGCUAACUCCGUGCCAGCAGCCGCGGUAAUACGGAGGGUGCAAGCGUUAAUCGGAAUUACUGGGCGUAAAGCGCACGCAGGCGGUCUGUCAAGUCGGAUGUGAAAUCCCCGGGCUCAACCUGGGAACUGCAUCCGAAACUGGCAGGCUUGAGUCUUGUAGAGGGGGGUAGAAUUCCAGGUGUAGCGGUGAAAUGCGUAGAGAUCUGGAGGAAUACCGGUGGCGAAGGCGGCCCCCUGGACAAAGACUGA